UACGGAGGGUGCAAGCGUUAUCCGGAUUCACUGGGUUUAAAGGGUGCGUAGGUGGGUCUGUAAGUCAGUGGUGAAAUCUCCGAGCUUAACUCGGAAACUGCCAUUGAUACUAUAGAUCUUGAAUAUUCUGGAGGUGAGCGGAAUAUGUCAUGUAGCGGUGAAAUGCUUAGAUAUGACAUAGAACACCAAUUGCGAAGGCAGCUCACUACGGGAUUAUUGACACUGAGGCACGAAAGCGUGGGGAUCAAACAGG
rnacentral:rRNA from 1 species